rnacentral:tRNA from 1 species
GCCCUAGUAGCUCACCGGUAGAGCGCGUCACUAGUAAUGACGAGGCAGCUAGUUCGACUCUGGUCUGGGGCA